rnacentral:rRNA from 1 species
UACGUAGGGUGCAAGCGUUGUCCGGAAUUAUUGGGCGUAAAGAGCUCGUAGGCGGUUUGUUGCGUCGGCUGUGAAAUCCCGAGGCUCAACCUCGGGUCUGCAGUCGAUACGAGCAAACUAGAGUGUUGCAGGGGAGACUGGAAUUCCUGGUGUAGCGGUGAAAUGCGCAGAUAUCAGGAGGAACACCGAUGGCGAAGGCAGCUCUCUGGGACGGUACUGACGCUGAGGUGCGAAAGCGUGGGGAGCAAACAGG